GGUCGGAUGGUGUAGUUGGUUAUCACUUCUGUCUAACACUUCAAGUGUACACAGGCGGUCAUCAGUUCGAGUCUGGUUCCGAUCA